GGAUACCGGUGUAAACUCAUGAAGGAAAGGAAGUUGCAGAGGUGCAACUGAGGGCAUGAUCUGAAGACACUAGGAUUGCAUGGGUGUAACUAGAUACCCAAUUUGACAGAAGACCUUGGACCUUGGAAGCAGAUCCUGGGCUGAGAAUUUGGUCAGCAAUGUUACUGGAACACAUGUGUGAGAGCUCAAAUCCACCAUCCUCAACUCAUAUGCCAUUUGUGGGUGGAAAUGUACAUGCAAACAGAAGAGAGAGCCUGAAGUAGAAAACAGCAUUGGAGAAGCUCCAUUGGACCCUGAGCAGGAUCCAGGGAUUAAGUCUUAUUGGCUAAGCACUGCACAAACAAAAUAUACGUAGACCGUCCCUGCCCCCAAGAGCUCACAGACUAGGAUUUGGACUACACACAGCAGGUGAACAAGCAGGCUAAUGGAAUGACGUGGAAGGACCAUGGAAGAGCAGAGAUAUAUGCGAUUGCAUGAGUUAGUAAUCUUAUAUAGCACGAUGUGAUGACUGUUAGCAUCACUGUCAGCUGCCCUGGUGAAGGGUCUGGUUAACACCC